rnacentral:lncRNA from 1 species
UCUGAUUCCUCAGAUGAUGAGGAUGAAGACAACUCUGGUGAGGAAGCCGACAAUGGGAAUGUGAAUGAUGUGGAGAAAGGUGAAACCGCUCCAUCUGAGAAGCAACAGGAGGUGCUUGAUACCUCUAAUACCGCAAGCAAGGACAAUACUGCUCUAUCUGAGAAGAAAGAGGAGGUGCUUGAUACCUCUGAUACCGUGAGUAAGGACAAUGAGGAACAAGCAGUCACUGCUGAUGAACCAAGAGAAAAGAAGCAACGAGUGGAAGAUCCUCCAGUUUUUGAGCAGGCCGUGCAAAAAGAGACUGCUGAU